rnacentral:rRNA from 1 species
AUUGAACGCUGGCGGAAUGCUUUACACAUGCAAGUCGAACGGCAGCACGGACUUCGGUCUGGUGGCGAGUGGCGAACGGGUGAGUAACAUAUCGGAACGUAUCCAAUAAUGGGGGAUAACUAAUCGAAAGGUUGGCUAAUACCGCAUACGCCCUACGGGGGAAAGCUAGGGACCUUCGGGCCUGGCGUUAAUGGAGCGGCCGAUAUCUGAUUAGCUAGUUGGUGAGGUAAAGGCUCACCAAGGCGACGAUCAGUAGCUGGUCUGAGAGGACGACCAGCCACACUGGAAAUGAGACACGGUCCAGACUCCUACGGGAGGCAGCAGUGGGGAAUUUUGGACAAUGGGCGCAAGCCUGAUCCAGCCAUUCCGCGUGAGUGAAGAAGGCCUUCGGGUUGUAAAGCUCUUUCGCAAGGGAAGAAAACUUAUCCUCUAACAUAGGAUGAGGUUGACGGUACCUUGAUAAGAAGCACCGGCUAACUACGUGCCAGCCGCCGCGGUAACAC